rnacentral:lncRNA from 1 species
AGGAUUCCAAAUGAAUGAGAAGUUAGUUAGAAACAAACUGUGCUCUUCCCAUCUAUUCACUGCUCCCUCCUGCAGCUCCCGGCGCCCCCGCCGCUGUCGCCGCCUCGGUGUCCCCCAGCUCCAGUCCCGCUCUUAG